rnacentral:rRNA from 1 species
AUUGAACGCUGGCGGCAUGCCUUACACAUGCAAGUCGAACGGCAGCACGGGUGCUUGCACCUGGUGGCGAGUGGCGAACGGGUGAGUAAUACAUCGGAACAUGUCCUGUAGUGGGGGAUAGCCCGGCGAAAGCCGGAUUGAUACUGCAUACGAUCUACGGAUGCAAGCGGGGGACCUUCGGGCCUCGCGCUAUAGGGUUGGCCGAUGGCUGAUUAGCUAGUUGGUGGGGUAAAGGCCUACCAAGGCGACGAUCAGUAGCUGGUCUGAGAGGACGACCAGCCACACUGGAACUGAGACACGGCCCAGACUCCUACGGGAGGCAGCAGUGGGGAAUUUUGGACAAUGGGCGAAAGCCUGAUCCAGCAAUGCCGCGUGUGUGAAGAAGGCCUUCGGGUUGUAAAGCACUUUUGUCCGGAAAGAAAUCCUUGGCCCUAAUACGGUCGGGGGAUGACGGUACCGGAAGAAUAAGCACCGGCUAACUACGUG